UAAAGAAGGAGAUCCUCAAGGCGAUCCAAGACGCCUUAGCUGCACAAGCUCAGCUCUCCUCUACUAACGAGUAUAUCGCCAGAAUGGAGGAUCAGAUGAAGCGUUAUGAGGAGAGGAUCGUCGAAGUGGAACGAGAACUUGAAGACUCUCGAGUUGGUUGGUCUGCCGAUCUCGCUCGUUAUGCUGAAGACCUUCGGGCGAAGGGGGAAGAGCUUCGAGCCAAGGAUGAGGAGCUUCAAGCUAAGGAAGAGGAGAGUACUACGAAGGAGGCCGGGGCUUAUAUGAACGCCCAUAAUGACCUUAUGGUCAAGCUGAAUAAACAGUAUCCUGAAGAGGACUUUUCCUGGAUGAACGAGCUCGCCCCAUAGGCCGAAGACGAGAGCGACGAGGA
rnacentral:misc_RNA from 1 species